AAGUAUAGGCUGGCCUAGACCUCAUUAAUAUUCCUGCCUCAUUCUCCAUGCUGAGAUUAACAGGUCUGAGAGAUUUCUCCAUCUUCAAGAAGUAUAGUUGUUGUUAUUAAAAUCUUGUUGUUAAAUAUCAGCCCACGCCCACCAUGCCGGUCCAGGUAGAGCCCACCAAACCAACACAGUUCCACGUGGAGAGAUUUAAUAGGAGAAGGAGACAAGGGGAAGGGGCGAGAGAAAGAAGAGAAAGAGGAGGAGGGCAGAAGAAGUCCACCUUUUAUUUGGAAUAUGAUGUAACUAUUUCCUGGUGGAGGUAGGAAUGGAACCAAAGGAACGCUGGGAAUGUAUAGCCGUUGCCAUGGGAACAGUGACCAAACGUUGUCCUGUUGGAGCUCCUGGAUUUUUACUUCUGACUAUCCCGGAUUGGUUGACGUAGAAACAGCAUUCUUCUUGAAGGAACAGGUAAAGACCACCUUCCUUAGCGUCAGGACAUCCAGCCCUGUCCGUUCUGAAGCACCGCAGCUGCUAAAGAAUCGACCUGUUUCCGGAUGGUUCAAGAAAUCUUUAGGACAUCACGUUCCAUUCAGUUGCCCUCAGGAUGCAGCAUACAGAACCUUUACGUAGAAACCUCUUCAGAGUUCAAGUUGUCAAGUGUUAAGAAUGUUAUAUCAACAUGAGAACCCAGGAAGGAAAGCAAGUGACAGAUGUGGCAAGCUGGAGUAAUCAAAUGUUGGUACCUCGGAGACUGCGUUUGGCCUCGUGAGAUUGAGGAAUGGACUCGUCACAUGGGUCAUACGGUGUUCGCACAUGUUUUCAAAACAGAGUCGGAGGCGCUCUGCAGCAAACAGGGCUAGGAGAGUAGAAAGGCAAGCCACAGGCUGGGAUAAAAUACGUGCACACUGCACAGCCAACAAGCAGCUUGUAUCCAAAAUACACAAAGAACGCUUAAAACCGUAGAUAGGAAAACAAACAACCCAACUUAAAAAUGCACAAAAGAUGCCCACAGAAACCUCAGAGAAGAUAUACAGAUGGUGGGAAAGCAUAGGAAAGGACACUUGUUACUGAGGAACUGCUUUCUGAACAAUGAUGGUGGACUACGACCCCAGAUGAAAAGGCAAAACUGUCAAUAACAGUUGCUGGCGGGGACGAGGAGCUGUGGGAUGUCCCAUUCAUCGCAGCCCCCGAUGUCAAAUGGCAUUGUGACUUGGGGAAAUAGUUUGGAAGGUUUUUUUUUCAAAUCUAAAUGUAACGAUGUAACCACUACGAGGCAUUAAUUAAAAUGACUUGGACACUCAGCUCCACACAGAAAUUGUGCUUAGAGUAGUUUCACUAUAAUGAUCAAAGUAUGGGAUCAAUUGAGAUGUUCUUUAUUAGAUGAACGGAUAACAAAACCUGUAAUAUGCACUCAAUGGAAUAUUUUGAAUGAGAUACCAGAUUCCCACAUGGGAAGUAAAGAAUCGACUCCUGCAAACUGUCCUCAGAUGUUCACAUUUUACACACACACACACACACACACACGAAUGCAUGCACGAACGCAUGCACAGAUAUAACAUGAAGCCAAUUUUGUUGAAUUUUAUUGUUUCCUUGCUAUUGAAAAGAAGAAAAAAAAGUUUGGCUUGUGCAUAACUCUAUAGAAUCAGCUCUCAUUUCCAUAGGUACUGUGUCCAUGGAUUCAACCAACUUUUGAUAAAAGUAUUUUUAAGAGUGUGAACAAGA